UUUAAUGUGUUUUACGGUCUCAUCUUUCGUCAAGAAAAUAUAAUUGAACUGUAGACUUUGAAACCAAAUAAGUAACAUGUGAUUUAGUUAAGGUGAAACCGCACUCGCGCAACAAAUAUAAAUAUAACAAUUGUAAGAGUUGAUACAAAUUUCAGACACUACUACUACUGUUGGACUUCCCCAUGAGUCACCAGCGGCAGUUCACUCGAGCAGGUCACCGGAGCGGGUUCCGUUCGACAGAUUGCUGCCUCUAACAUCACUAUAUGCCGAGUUCUCGACGAUUAACCUACUUGCAAGAUCAUAAAGAUUUGCGAUGUUACACGAGUUACAGAUAUUCUACCUAAGCACUACCUACAUACAUUUUCGAAUAACGUGACAAAACAUCUUAAUAGCAAUUAUAUCCAGCGGUCCACCAACGCAAACGGAAGAUGUUUGAACUCUUGUUUGAAGUUCUAUAAUUGUUCGAAAUAAAC